rnacentral:rRNA from 1 species
GAUGAACGCUGGCGGCGUGCCUAAUACAUGCAAGUCGAGCGAACAGACGAGGAGCUUGCUCCUCUGACGUUAGCGGCGGACGGGUGAGUAACACGUGGAUAACCUACCUAUAAGACUGGGAUAACUUCGGGAAACCGGAGCUAAUACCGGAUAAUAUAUUGAACCGCAUGGUUCAAUAGUGAAAGACGGUUUUGCUGUCACUUAUAGAUGGAUCCGCGCCGCAUUAGCUAGUUGGUAAGGUAACGGCUUACCAAGGCAACGAUGCGUAGCCGACCUGAGAGAGUGAUCGGCCACACUGGAACUGAGACACGGUCCAGACUCCUACGGGAGGCAGCAGUAGGGAAUCUUCCGCAAUGGGCGAAAGCCUGACGGAGCAACGCCGCGUGAGUGAUGAAGGUCUUCGGAUCGUAAAGCUCUGUUAUUAGGGAAGAACAAAUGUGUAAGUAACUAUGCACGUCUUGACGGUACCUAAUCAGAAAGCCACGGCUAACUACGUG